ACUCUGCUCAUAAAAAUGAUCGUAUCUCAAAAACUAAAUAAUGAAAAGAGUUCAAAUAACUUACGGAGUUUGAAGAAAUAUUUUCUUUAUGUUUCUACAUUUUUAAUGUUUUAGAUCAAAAUGUUUUGUGUUUUUAUUUUGUAAAAGUCAAAAAAGGUUCCCGCACACUGUCUCACUCUUUCCCAUUUUAUUUAAGCAUUUAAGCAACGUUUCGGUCUGUGUGACCUUCUUCACGCAUUUGUGUGUUUUUAUUUUGUAAAAUCUGAUGGACGAACGUCCAGUUUUUACAUCAUUAUUAUUAUUAUUAAUGACACAGUUUCAAUACUUUCAUUAAAUAUUACGGUUCACUGACUUCCAUAACCUCUGAGCUCAGGUUGUUCAGAUUUUAGAGAUGUGAAGCAUUUGAAGAUACUUCAGGAAAUGACAUCACAAUAAGCAAACAUACCAGUGUAGGCAGUGGAGGACCGUGUUGUCUUAAACGUAUUUGUUUCGUCUCUCUUUCACUCUUAUUUAUUUUACAUUUUCGUGCCUCUCUGAAGCUGCAGCCUGUUUCUGCAGAUGGACAUAUUCUGGGCUGUUGUAGUUUGGCCAUGUCGGCCACCGUAGUUUCCAGCUGAGUCAUUUAUCAGUUUGAAUAAACACAGCUGACAAUCAGCUGUGAGCGUAACUGAGGGUGUUGUUAAGGUGAAGGAUCAACGCUGAUAAAUGUUGGACAUGAGAUCAUUUUGUUUCUUCCCUGAAAUUAGUCAUGACCACGAUAACACUGCUUUUUAUCUGGAUCAUAAAAACAAACACCUGAGGAGGACGCACCUGAGGAGGACGGCAGAGAGACUGUACCGAGUUGUUUCUGAGAAAUUAGAUAAGGUUACGUAACACUGUGACAUAAACACACCUGAUCCCUCUUCUUGUACCUGCCUGCAGAGGAACGUCCAGAUAUGGUCAGACAGGUGUGACGGCAGAUUAACAGACUUUAUUGUCCAUGCUGCAGAUGGCAGAGUGUUAGAGUCUGACGCCAGAGGAAGAAGAGGAAGAAGAAGAAGAAGAAGACAGAGAAGGAGGACAAUGCUUCAGAGGAGGGCAGUGCUGGUCCCUGAGGCUGGGGAGGAGACGCCAAGAGACUCCACCGCACCCUCAGCAAGCUGGGCUUCUAAGUGGACAUCCACAGUGACCUCAGCGAGGACGAGAUCUACGAGCUAAUCUUUAAAGGACGGACAGUUUUGACUCAUACCAGAGGAAUUACCGGUCGAACCAACAGCAUUACUGAUGGCUUCGCUCCAACUGCGUGUCAGAGUCAGCAUCCAAGAACCAGGAAUGAGUUUCAGCAUGUGUGCCUCUUUAUAAACUGAGCCGUCCUGAUCAGCUGAUCACAGAGUGGACUAAAACACUGUUAACAACUCGAUCGACAGACUCUGCAGAGGAAAACCUGUGAGCACGUUCAGUCUGCAGGAAGCUCCUGAAAAUGGCAGCAUUAAGAAGAAGCGGGAGUCUAGAACUAGACCUUAAUUUUUCUAAAUCAACAACAAAACUUAUGAGACAUGCAGCUUCAUUCAUCUCAGCGUUUGACGUCAGUAAACCAAGGAUGAGACAGAUUGUAGAAGAGUUUCAGAAGAUCGUUGAUGAAGUGAAAAAGAUGCAGGAGACGACAGACAAACAGAGAAGAAAAGGAGUUGUUGCUGGAGGAGUAGGACUCGGACUGAUGAUCCUUGCAACUCCGUUCACUGGGGGAGCGAGCUUAUUGGCAGCAGGAGGACUAGCUGCUGCUGCUGUUGGUGGUUAUGUUGUCAAGGCAAAUGUAACAAAAAUAAAAGAAGAGAAAGAAAGUGCACAUAAAGUCGAAGAGCUGGGGAAAGAAUUCAUGGAGAUUGUUGAAUCGCUGAAGAAUGACCUGGAAGAAAUAAAGACGACGUGUGAAGAGCUGAAGACACCAUCCAUGAAAGUUCAGGCUGUAGUCACUCUGUCAGACAUGGAGGAGUUUCAGUGGAUUCUUACACAAGUGUCUGAACUGGCCGAGACAAGUGGAGAAGUUUUGGAUGUGGCAGUAGCAGUGAUGGCAGUAAUGCAUGAUCUGUUAGUGCUCAUUGUGAGUGUCUUCAGAGUGACUGCGACCCCUGAAGAGGAUCAGCAGUUAAGAGACUCCAUCAUCCAGUCAGCUGAUCGGUGUCAGAAGGUCAUUAAUGCGUUUGAUCGGAUGACGCAGAAACUGAGACACUUCACAGGAUGUUGGAGAUACAAGACAAGGUCUCGUUCAAUCACCAUGUGACGUAAAGUCUCAUCAGAUCUGCAGUUUGAGAUGAAGUGUGUAAAUGUGUCCGAUCCUGCGUGUCUGAACGAUCUCCUCGGUGGUGGAAUAUGAUAUUUAGCCUGAAUAUGAUGAUGACUGUACAGAUGCUGGCUUUGAACUGUGAGCUGUCCCGGAGGACUGGUCGGACCACUUUGUGUCAGUCCAAACUCCUCACAGAGGGUUCAAACCAGGAACCAUCUUGCUGUGAGGCAACAAUGCUAACCACUGCUCCACCGUGCCGCAUCGAGUUCAGAAUGAAGUUUAUUAGUUUGAACAUUAAAUAUCUCGUCUUUGGACCGGGUUGGAAUUGGGGUUGUAUGUAUUUUAUAUCUCACAUAAAGUUUAUACACUGUGUUUAUAUUGUACCUGUGAUGUCAUCACUUCUACCUGCACUGUUUAUUUUGCUGACUGUAACUGCUGCACAUGUUCAUAUCUUAUCCAUAUUCAUAUCUCCCUCUGACUGUGAAUUCUAUAUACCGUAAACUUACAUUAGUAGCUUUAAUUUGCUUAUCACUGAAGUCAACAGGCCUGUAUUUGUUACAGGCCUAAAGUUAAUUCCUUUCACACAAAACUGUUGCUCAGCAAAGAUCAGGAAAUACGAUCAAACUGUUUAUAUGAACCAGUCUGAAUGUUUUAAUUAUGUGUUGUAUCACAACGCUUGUUUGACGGCACUCAAGGAUUUCGGCAUCCGACACAACAAAACUUUAUCCUCUUUAAACAAUAUUUAAUAUUUUUAUGAAACCCCCUUUUGAUCUGAGGACACUUACAGACUGGAGGAACAUGAAUAACGUACAGGGUGAUCCAGGAACGGACACAUAUUCUGACUUUAUGACAGCAACAGAGGAAACGUAGGGAGUCACCACUUGUUUUUUUGACAUGCCGGUAAAUCUGAAAGAAUUUAGUCAUCCUUGGCGCUCAUGGUUUCAGUGAAAUGAACUCAGCCAAGCUAACGAUGUGUAGCAUCUCCAUACUGACAAAAAUUAAAUAUGUAUGCUUGCAUGUGUGAUCUAAACAGAUAACCAAUGUUAGCUCAAGUAGGUAGCCAAAAAAUGUGGUUUUAUACAUCCAAAGAACUUUUGUCAACAAGAACUGCUGGCAGCCAGACCAGGCCUCUUAUUGAGACAGGCCUUUAUUUGUCUAAACGUGUAGCCACACCAGGCUGUGAAAGGGUCUGGGCAUUUAGUAAGUUUUACGGUAUUGUAUAUAUUGUUUAAUAUUUCAUUAUCUCAGUACAUGGACUCUUUGCAGUGACAUUAAAGUUUAAUUUAAUCUCAUAUUCAGUGUUGAUCUCAGCUUCACCAUGUACACCUGAACUAAUCAAUACUUUUAUAUUAAUGAUGGAUCAGAUGACUGUGUGUGGUCAUGUGAAAUGUUUCACUCAUAGAGACAAACUCAGAUAAUUAACAUGUUGUAGCAUAUUUUAUUUGUGUGUUUAUGGUGUUCCCCAAGGCUCCAUUUUAGGCCCAAUUAUAUUUUCACUAUACAUGCUUCCAUUAGGCUCUAUACUAAGGAAAUACAAUAUGUCUUAUCACUGUUAUGCAGAUGAUUCCCAGUUGUACCUCCCUUUGAAACCAACAGAUCCUUGCAGCAUUAAUUCACUAUUACUCUGUAUUAAUGACAUAAAAUCUUGGAUGGCAUGAAGCUUUCUCCAGCUGAACCAUGACAAAACUGAGGUCCUCAUCUUUGGCCUUACAGACACUUCUGCCUCUGUUACCAGUGCUCUUGGUCCUCUGUCUUCACGUUUAAAAUCUCAUGUAAAGAAUCUUGGUGUCAUCUUUGACUCUGGUCAAAAAAGUUAAAGUUAAAAACCAGAGGUGACAAAGCUUUUUCAGUUGUUGGUCCGAAACUGUGGAGCAGCCUGCCACAAACAGUUAGAUCCUCACCCUCUUUAAAUAUAUUCAAAGCCCGGCUAAAACCCAUCUCUUUGCCUUAGCUUUUGGUGAUUCAUCAUGAGAACAUAUUGUUUGAUAUUCAUCUUUUUCAUUGAAUUUGCUCAAGACAAACUCUACUGUCUUGGCUGAUUAUUUUUCUUGUUGUGCAUAAUUUGUAUACGUUGUAAAGCACUUUGGUCAAUGAUUGUUGUUUUUAAAU